ensembl:lncRNA
CGAGCGGGGCGGGGGCACCCGAGGGUGCCGGGCGGGCAGUGAGGUGCUGGUCCGUGUUAGCCGCACGGAUUAGCCACGGUACGUGUGUGCACCGAGCACAAAGCUGGCAGGCGGUAACCUACGCUGCCUUCUCUACUCCCACAGCUCUCUGGAGCUCCGAGCGCCGCUCCCCGUGCGAGGCCGAGCCGGUCGGGGCUGCGGGGCGGCGCCGGGAGCGCAAGAGCCCGUCCGGGAGCUGGAGCUGAAGCGGGAGGAGCAGCGCACCGGUACGGAGAAGCGAGAAAUGCUGCCCAAGGGCCGGAUCUUGGAUGAACCCGUUUCAGGCACGCACCGCAAACUUCAGCGCGGUAACGGGGCCGAUCCUCGCUGCCGACGCUGUCGCGACACGCGGCAGCAGCAGGAACGUGCUGGGGCCGCGGGCUGCAGGAUCCUGCCCCGAGCCAGCCGGAUGCCUCGUGCGGCCGGAGGAGGCGGGCGGUGGGCAUCAGGGAGCACCAGGAAUCUCAUGUUCACGUCUUCCCUCUCCGAGAGUUCUUUGUUUCACAGCUUGCCCUUGCAGACCAGUGCGUCCUGGCUCCGAUCCCGCAGACCUCCAGAGAGGUGACCUCUUUAAGGAACGCUGCUGUCACCGGUCUUUUAGUGAUGCAGAAACACUAUUUAUUAAUGAAGUGCAACACAGUGUUAAAGAUUCUUAAUGGAGUAUGGAAAGGAUAUUCAGAUUAACGUACUUCACUUCUUUUGGACUCAUUUCCCACUGUAUUUUCAUAGUGCUUCACUGCUUAGUAUUAAAAGCUUCUGUUCACCGUGCUUGGGAUUGACCCCAGUGCUGCCUGCAGAGGUGACCAACCCCUUUGCACCCUUAACCGCCUCACUGUGCUCAGCUGUUUCCACGGGAGCAGACAGGCAGUGUUUCUCCGGGCACUGUCAUCAGGCAUGGCCAGUUCUGUUCUCCAUCUGCACACCAGUUCAGGCAUGUUUAGCUCCCUACAUAGUGUCUCUCCUCAUCAAUACACUAAGAAAUCAACUCUAGGAUAUCCAGAAAUUGCAAUGCAAAGUAAGAAGGCAAAAUGAAUAAUACAGAAAUAAGCUAUACUUUCAAGAAUUUCUGUGCUCUUAGUAUAGUAUGAGAAAUUUGUUACUGUGACUGAUAAAGUAAGUCAAAAAACUUACCAGUUUAGGCAAAUCUCAUGCUUCUGUGCACAUUCCACCUAGGUUCAGGAGGGAAAUCCCAGGCAUGCUCCUUUCUUUCUUGCUAUCAGAGGUUCAUACAGACAAUAGUAUGGCACAGAAUGAUCCAGAGACAGUAGCUGUGAUUCACUACCCUUUAUCCAAAGCUUCCUAAAAGAUCCAUAGCUGAUGGAUCACUGUCAUUCUUUUGCUGCUUCUGGCAGAGUGGUUCCUGUAUGAUACCUCUUGUUAUGCUUCAAGGUGUCAAUUUUGUGGGUUGUUUAUAAGGUUUUAUGUGUCCACGAGGCAGAUGCGAGCCAGGUGUUGUCCUCCUGGCUGACUGGCUCUGUGAUGCCAGCCCAAGCUUUGCUGAAAAUUGACCCAUGGGUGAAAACCUUAAUCUGGUGAGAUCUUCUCUAGAGUAUGUUCAAUUUCACUGCCUUGCCUUUGGACUGGAAGACUUUUGAAUUACUGUGUUAAGAAAGAGCCCCACAACUCAAGCCAGUCUACAAUGGUUGCUUCCCUCCCUGGCCAAAGUCACAUAAAUUCCAGAGCAUUUUUAGACCACACAGUAAAUUCCAGUGACAAUUCUGUUUCCCCAGAAAUUAUGAAGAAGUAACUGGCUUUAGUGCCAAAACCCAAAACAUUUCAUUAAUUACAGGCAUUUUCUACUCAGAGUUUAUGUUGGGUCAGAUGUAAUAAUUGUGCUUCACUAAAGACACAAAAGCCUCACUUCAGCAUGUUGCACACCUCGUCCUUAAUCCUCAUCCUCUCCUCAGCAGAGACAGCAAAAUAGACACUGCAAAAUACCUACUAGAAGCCCCCUUCCCAUGUCAUUGAAAAUGUAAAGAAAAGAUUGAAUAUUUUACUUCUUUGGAAAAAUAGAAAAACCUUUGUAAUUCUGCCCAGCAACACUAGGACCAAAAAGAGUAUCAGUGUUUUGCCAUUAAAAAUUUGCCACUUUGAUGAA